AGUACGGCGAGUGACCGGGAAGAGCUCAAAUUUGAAAUCUGGCGUGCUCAGUGCGUCCGAGUUGUAAUCUAUAGAGUCGUUUUCCGUGCCGGACUGUGUCCAAGUCCCUUGGAACAGGGUAUCAAAGAGGGUGAUAAUCCCGUACUUGACACAAUGACCGGUGCUCUGUGAUACGUCUUCUACGAGUCGAGUUGUUUGGGAAUGCAGCUCAAAAUGGGUGGUGAGUUCCAUCUAAAGCUAAAUAUUGGCGAGAGACCGAUAGCGAACAAGUACCGUGAGGGAAAGAUGAAAAGCACUUUGGAAAGAGAGUUAAACAGUACGUGAAAUUGUUAAAAGGGAAACGAUUGAAGUCAGUCGUGACUGAGAGGCUCAGCCGGUUCUGCCGGUGUAUUCCCCUCAGUCGGGUCAACAUCAGUUUUGUUCGGUGGAUAAGGGCGGUUGGAAGGUGGCACCCUCGGGUGUGUUAUAGCCAACUGUCGCAUAC
rnacentral:rRNA from 1 species